rnacentral:rRNA from 1 species
CCCUUAGAUGUUCUGGGCCGCACGCGCGCUACACUGAUGCAUUCAACGAGUUUCUUCCUGGUCCGAGAGGAAUGGGUAACCUUUUGAAAGUGCAUCGUGAUAGGGAUAGACUAUUGCAAUUAUUGGUCUUCAACGAGGAAUUCCUAGUAGACGUAGUUCAUCAGACUGCAUCGAUUACGUCCCUGCCCUUUGUACACACCGCCCGUCGCUCCUACCGAUUGAAUGCUCAGGUGAGCCAUUCGGACUUUCAUCAUGCUGGUUUCCAGUUUUGAUGAAGGAAAGUCUUGGGAACCUUAUCAUUUAGAGGAAGGAGAAGUCGUAACA